AAGCGCAGCGAUGCGUUGAGCUAACCGGUACUAAUGAACCGUGAGGCUUAAACUGACAACGCCGAAG
rnacentral:rRNA from 1 species